rnacentral:lncRNA from 1 species
AUGCAAGCCAUCAGCCGGCUCAGGCCCGAUCAAGAUGGAGAAGAAGGACUGGGAGAUGAGCGGUCGGGACUGCGACUCGAAGCUGAGCCUCGGGCAAAACCAGAGUCAAAACCAAAGUCCAAGUCAAAGCCAAAGUCAAGGCCGGAGCUUGCACGAGUCGAGCUUCACCGGGACCAACGGCUUCGUGCCGCCCUCGCCGAGCCCGUACUACAACCAAACGCGGCAGGACCGCUUCGCCCACCCCAUGCAUCACAACUCCUACUACAACCCCCACUACUGCCCCCCGCGCUCGAGCCAGAUCCAGGAGCGCUUCGUCCCGGGAACCCGUACCACUUCCAGGGCGGUGACUCGGGGCUCCAGCCCUACCAGUCCUCGCAGUGCUGGAACCAAUUCAACGUCUACUCCACGCCGUCCAACGCCCACCAGUCCUACUCCGGCAUGAUGUCCUACUCCUCGCCGGCCUGCGACGUCGCCUCGGCCGAGUACAAAAGCUACUACUACAACAAUUACUCCAACUGCACCGAGUUCGAUUAUCAGAACUACGGGAGCUACCACUUCCAGCAGCGGUCGCAUCCCUACCGCAGGAUGAGUUACCAGAGCCAGCCGGCGCUCCCGUCCUUCAACAACGAUAGGCUCCAUUACAAUAUUUGAUUAAUUCGUCAUAAGUGAAGACUGAAAUUGGUUGAUCAAACGGAAACGUAUCUCAGUUUAUGUUAACGGAACCUGAGCCAUUGCCUCCGGGACGGCUGCAAAAAUAGUCUUUGCUCGUCUGUUACUAUUUAUUUUUAAACUCAUUGUUAUGUAGUUUAUUAUUCGUGUGAUAUUAAGUAAUGAUGUUAAUUAAGUUGAAAAGUUUACCAAAUAUUUGAACCCUCUUGAACAAAUUUUCAAAAUGUAGGAGAGGCAAGAAAAUGAUCUUGCCUCGUAACAGUAGGAAACGAAAGCACAAGAGGGUGUACUUACCUCCCUCUUGCUGUUUGGAUGUCCUUAAAUACUGUUCUUCGGUAAGGUGGAGCAACUCAGUGACACUCUCAUGAAAGUUUUUUUGACCGAAUGGAGAUACUUUCACAAGUGCAGAUCGCGUAAGUUGAAAAAAUUAGUGAGCAAAGUGUCGUCCCUAUGUUUUGUCAACUACCAAAAGUGAAACAUUUGAUUUUCACGGUCAUUGUGUCCAAAAGAUUCAAUUUUUCAGAUGAAAAAAAUAACCUAUAUACUUACAUUUUGAGAGAAGAAGUACAGUGGCUAAAAGUGAAGAUUUGAUUUACAUUUAGUGCGUAUAAAAUAAAUACGAGUAAAUACCAUGAGAAAUUAUAAUAACUAGACUUAUAAAAAUUGUCUAGCUAAUAUUAAGAUUUUGAUUUGUUUAAAUUUUCAGCAUGUAAUCUUCCCUAAAUCCAAGCAUCGUUUUGUCAGUGGCUCAAAACAUGUAAAUGGCCCCCUUACUUAAACACUACAGCAUGGGUCCUCGUACAUUUGAAUAAAACGAUUUAGACGAAUAAUGUUACCUUAAAGAUUGUACUGGUAUGUUCUUCAAUUAUCGUGAUUUUUGAUACUGCCCUUGUUAAGUUUGAAAUCUUAAAUUGACCCUCGUGAUUCGACAAUGUCUUCUAUUUUAGUAGUAUCUACGGGGUCUUCGAAGCAAUAAAAUCUUAGACUCGAAACAUGUUGAAGAAUGCGACGAAACUUAUUCCACGGACCAGUUUGAUGACCCUGAAAUAGCUAAAAUUGGUGCGCAAUUUUUAUGUUACGGUGUUUGUUACAUACUUCAUCAGUCGAACCAACCUCUAGGUUAAGAAAAUUAGGUACUCCACUGAAAUAAAUUGCACCGUCAAAGUUUGCUGAGCGGGUUAAUCCGCGUGGUGUGGAUAGAGUUAAAAUACUCUAGAUAGAGCUAAGAGCCUGUACUCAUCCUCCUCCUCCCCCGCCCCCGGCUGGUAAAAGCAUUACAAUGGUGAAAAUACCGAAUUUUGUACCUCGAUUUUCGUAGGUUUUGAGUUAUCUCACAAAUGAACUGUAAACUAUUUAUUUUAAGUAUCUGCUAUCAAAAUUAUUCCAUCGAAAAAAAAUCUAGAAGUUACGUGAAAUCGUAAAUCUAUUCACUUUAGCAUAUAAAUCAAAAUAUUUUUUGAUUUUGAAUACCUAUGUAUUAAAAAAAUUUCCAAGUAUUUCUUGUGUUUAUAACAGCCGCAAUUAACUUUUUCCGUUUUACAUCAGUCUUAAGGAGAUUGGCGCUCAAUUGGAUCGAAUGUGACAAAACAUCCCUGUCGAUUUCCGUAACUUCUUCAUCACCGAGUUGAAUUCCACCUUGCCUUACUUAAAAAUUUAAAAAUACCAAGAUUAUCAUGUUCAUUACUUCUUUGUUUGUUUUUUGUCUCCUCUAAGUUGUAGGUGCUUAAUCUAAUAUUGUUACUCUAUCCUUUGUUACCAUCUAGUUAGAUUCAAUACAAUUUCUUUGCGAACUGCAUAUUUCCUUAGCAAUAGAUCAUAUGCAUUGGUAAGCUCCGAAAACUUAUUCAAGAUCACGGAAGAUACUUUGAACCACAACAAGCACAUACUAAUUGUCAAAAGAAAAGGAGGAAAACAUUAUGUUACAGAGAAUCUUUACCCUAAGAGAUUUGUAACUAAGUUUGGAUUUUUUUAUGUAGAAUCACAUUGACUUCCCUUAUCUUUUUGGACAAAUACCACACGUAAUACAAACCUACAUAUCGAAUCGAUCGUGAAACUGCAAAAAUGAAUAUCUCGGUUUGCGGCGCUGCAGAAUCUUCCUGUCAUAAUUUAUUUUUUAAAUAGAAAAAUACUUUACUUCCUCUCGUGAAAACUUUCUUCAUUUUUCUUCUCUGUUUGAGGAAUAUUUUGUGAACAUUUUAUGAGAAAAAUCUUUAGCUCGUUAUCCUUUGAUAAACUGAAAUGGGAGUGAAGAUCUUGAAAGGCCGCAAACGAGACAAGCUGCUUUUUGUAUGAGGACUUGAUCUAACCCAAGCAAAUGCCAUUCCAUUGUGUUUUACUAAGUGUGAUCAGUCAUGUAAAAAUAAUUUUGGGAUCCCUCAAUCAUCCGAUGAAAGUGACCGAAUGUAAAGAAUUAUUAAGGAAAUGCUAGGAAACGCCUCCAUGCUUCAAAAUAUUAAUGCCAAAAAUAAUGCACCUCCUUUCUCGUUACCAGCACUUUAUAGUUUACUUGACAAAAUCAAGGCAUCAAAAAAGUCCGUCUGAAAUAUAUUACCCAUUGACAGAGUCUCAACCUUCAAUCAACAGAACAUCCUGAAUUUAAAUACUGUUAGUUCAAUGUGAAAGGUUUUCAAAAUGCGCCGUAUAUGAUACAUACUAAUUCAAUAUCUUGUGCCAUACAUAGGUAGGUACUGUUUCAUGCUGAAAAAAACAAUAGAAAGUUAUUUCUGUCAAGCCUUCCUUGGGUGCAAUCUAAGUUUGUUCUUGUAAUUGUUUCUUAAUCAGUCGUGUCAUGAUAUAUUUCAGUUUAAUAACAAAAAUACCUCCAUUAUGAAGCAAAAAAAUUAAAUGAUAUUUGAAGAAAUAAGAUGAAAAAACAAGAAAAUAUUCACACGUAGCAUCAUGCAAAAAUAUCAAAUUUUCGGAAUACUCUCUCAAAAUUUUUAAGAAAAAGAUACAGAAAAUAAGGUACAUAUUCAAGAGGACAUAAGUUGGUUGAAAUUGAUAAAAAAAAAGUAAGUCUCACUUAUUUCUUUGUUUUACUUUUCCGUAUCAAGAACUUGGUUAUGCAAAUUUUCCUGGUAUUUCCUUUUCUUUUAUUUUUUUAAAGAACAAUAUUGAUGAAUACCAACUUAGGUACAUUAACUUCUGUUGUCUAUCAAUUUUAAGCAAGGUCAGUACCUAGACCUCACACCAUCCCAACGGCUCAUCUUCCCCCUUUUUCCAUAUCCCGUACCUAUUUAUUUUAAAACCGUCAUACCUACGUUAAACACUUCAUAAAAUAGUAACUUAUCUACUUUUUAACCUUAAUACAUUUUAGGAAUAUGAAUCCAGCGGAUGACAGUUUUUAGACUAAUGUUAUUUUCUACGGGACCAAAAGUUUUAAAAUGUUUGUUCAAAUACUUAUUUGAAUAUUUUGUUCUUAAAUAUAACGAGAGAAAUAAAUAGAUGAAACUGUCACAUGAAAAUUUGGUAUAAGAUGGUUUACCUUUCUUAGGUCAGAAUACAUUUUAGAUUCAUCAGCCAAUCACUUCAGCUAGUUCUGAGUUGGUCUUUGCUUCAUCCAAGAGCAUUGAGGAAAUUGCGAGUUUGGAAGAACAAUUUUUAUGAAUGAAUGACGUUCAUGCUAUCUUGAGUUUUCAUUUGUGUCGCAUCAAGCGUUUAGCUGAGUUACAUAAAUUGUGCUAGGUCAUGGGAAUUCGCUAAUGACUUUUACCUCUCUUGUUCAGGAUAAUUUUCAUGAUUCGAAACAGGGUUUGAAGCUGCUACAUUUUGAAUCACUGCAACGCGUCUGUAAUCAUCGUACUAGAGACAGAGAGACAUCUUGUCUGACUUUAAAGACUACUAAAGCUUUACAUAUCAAUUAGUAACGAAAAUUUUCUCAGUUUGCAGACAUAGCAAUCUUAGCAGCCGAGAAAUCUUACUCUUGACGACAGCUACGAUGAAGUAAGGAGCCUGAACUCAUUCGAUUUCAAAUGAACUGCGAAUGAGCUUUCACAUAGAGAAAAAAAAGGAGGUGUUUGCAUCUUGAGGAUCGUGUACCCUGUGACGUAGGUCGGUACAACCUAGUCAGCAAAAUCCGGAAUUCGAAGUAUGAAAAACGGACCAUAACGUCCGAUUUUUUUGCUUAAAUCAAUCCAUGAUAUAAUUUCAAACACUUCAUGUAGAAAGCAUUCCUUCCAUAAACUACACCAUUCCCAAGAAAAUCGAUGAUAAAAGUCGCCGUACCGACCUACGUCAUCAAAAAAAUUCCAAGAUGCCCGAAAUGCAAACACCUCCUUUUUUUCUCUAUGGAACUUUCAAAUGAACAAUGGUGAAUCAGGAAAUCAGAUAAAGUGUAAUCGGAAGAACUUCAGGGGUCUACAAAAUGUUUAGUAGAGAUUUUCCAAGCUAAUUAUUUUGUCAUACGAGCAUUGCUAUGUUUAAAAUAAAAUGAAAAGUCGCAAGGCUUUUAGUAUUUAAUUACAUUUCUUAACUGAUUUGAGAGCCGUCGUUUCGGAGG